CACAGAUUAAUGCAGCACUCGUUUCUCAGAAAUCCUUUCUCAAAAAAAAAAAACUCGUUUCUCAGAAAAAGACGAAGCGCCCAGAAGCCGCCGCCGCCGCGCCCGACGGAUCGUGACACAUAGCACAGCAGCCGCCGGCCCCCGUCGCGCCACCACCGGACAGCGGCACACAUCGGCCGCCGCCAACAGCCAACGGGCCCACCGGCACACAGCAGCACGACGGCGGCGAGUCGGCCGACCCACGACCCCACGCCACACGGCCACGCAACCACACGCAUCUAGCAGCUGCAAGCCGGCGACGCAGCUUCUUCUCUGAAUCUGAUCCUCUCCAAGUUUUCUUGAAUCCCUAAGUGUAAGUGUGAAGCAGCUGUUUACUCAUGUCCAUCUUUCGCUUCAUUCUCCCGACAAUAGAAAGAAGUAGGGGCUGGAGAUGCUUUGCUACUGGAAUCCCUUCUGAUUCUAUAGCAGAGCUGAAUAAGGAAAUGGAGUCAAUAUUUGGCGAAUCUCCUUCAGCCAGCCCUUUGGGCUCAAAUCCUCCUCAGCAACCAGUCCAGCCCACCCCUGCAGCCAGAGAGACACAACCAGUGCUUACUCAUGUUGAUUGCAGUGGCCAGGCAAAGAUGGUUGAUGUCUCACCCAAACAUGACAGUGAGAGAGUAGCUAUAGCCAGCUGCAGGGUCUUGCUAGGCCAGAAGGCAUUUAACUUGGUGGCGUCAAACCAGAUUGCCAAAGGCGAUGUACUUACUGUUGCAAAGAUAGCUGGAAUAACUGGUGCGAAGCAAACUAGUAACCUCAUACCCCUGUGCCACAACAUUAAUAUCUCCCAUGUUCGUGUUGAUCUCACUCUCAAUGAAGAGGACUCUAGUGUUGUCAUAGAAGGGGAAGCCACCACUUGCGGGAAGACAGGGGUUGAAAUGGAAGCAAUGGCUGCAGUGACCAUUGCCGGACUGACGGUUUAUGACAUGUGCAAAGCAGCUUCAAAGGACAUAUGUAUAACAGAUAUCUGUCUCCAGCACAAAUCGGGGGGAAAGAGUGGAAACUGGUCCAAGAAUUAGAAGCUUCAGUUGCUUUUCUGAGGAUAUGAAUGCAGGCCUGAAUUCUUACACCAGAAGGUUUUGAUUUGCUUUAAAUUUGUGCACACUAGAUGUUAAAUCAUUGAGCCAUCAGAGAAGGUUAUUUUGAAUUCCCUGCCUGUUAAUACACUGCCCAACUGGUUAUAUUACCCAUGGUUUAUUGUGCAUUCUCCAUUGCUGCUCAUUGUACACAGACUGGUAUGCACAUGCCAACAUAAGGUGGAGUAAAUGAAAGUUGUCAAUAAAUAUGUUGAUAUUUUUGUGUCCUUGGUUGGAUGAGUGCAUAAAAGACAGUUUUGUUAUACAAACGCUCUCUCUGCAAAUUUAGUAUCUGAGUCCUUUAUCUUUUUAGGUUCCGACUCGUGUAAUUGUUAGUUGGUGUGAUGAUCUCAAUAAUAUUGAUGUUAUGGCGCAUGUGUUCUUUUUUAUUUGAUUACAAGGUGAAAGAAUGCACCUCCUGCAUAACCAUGGUGACAAGAAGUGAAGUAGUGAACCAUAGAGUAAUUGGCUGCACUUCAUCUUGUACCCCG
rnacentral:rRNA from 1 species